rnacentral:tRNA from 1 species
GCCGCUGUGGCUCAGCUGGCAGAGCGAUUCCUUGGUAAGGAAUAGGUCGGGGGUUCAAAUCCCCCCAGCGGCU